UGUGUUCUAUGAACAUAAACCACCUAUAUUUUCAAAUGUGGCUGUCAAGAUGGUGCAUGAAAAUAAGCAGAUUGAGAUCUGAAAAAACACCAGAGUCAUAAAAUGUCUCAGUUUGUCUGGUGGUGCUAAGAGAAAAUGGUGCUCUACUAGUUACACCUUCUUAACAGCUUUGAGUCUCACAAGACCAUAGCAAACUGGGUAGCAAAACCUUUUAGCCUUAUUCUUUAUUAUGGAUAUGAUAAACAUAUUUUCAAUUAUUGGAUGAGGUGAUACUGAGGACUACAUUGAGAAUGGGGAUUAUUGAUCUGGUUACUUGUUCAUUUUAUGAUGGUGUCGCAACUCACACUGGUUUGGACAGUUCACUUUUAAUAUCCUGGACCAGGUUCCCCAGUGAGGUCCAUUCAUUAGAGCAAACAUAGUUCCUUGCUAGGUUUUAACAGAUAUCUGGAAUUAAUCCAGAAAUCUCCAGCCCAGCUCAGCAAACAUCACCCUUCUAAUAACAGCACCUAGUUAUUUGUAUCACCAGGUCAGACCAAAUCACGAUAAUGGAUCUUCUGGAAGAUAUCCAGAGCCUGAAACUACUGGCAGAAAAUAAGGUACACGUGGUGGUAUGCCCCGGCACAUGACUUGUCAGAGCUCCAUGGAGGAACAUGAAGACCUAAUCUACCAUGGAUGAACAGAAAUGGAAUCAAUGGAUUGAUAUAAUCACAUAUAAGGACUUAAAGACAGUACUUCAGAGUAGCAGAGGAACUUUAUAAUUUGGAGCCUCCCACACGUAUUGAUUACCUCUCAAGCUGAUGCCCUCUGUUCUCUCUUGACUUGCUGCUUUAUCUGGCUCUGUAACAUUUGUACAUUUUUAGUUACUUCUGUUUGUACACGUGGGCCAAAUUUAUCCUUGGUUUACUGCCAAGGAGUUACACUGAGUAUAAAUUUGACCCUUUCAAUAUUCCUCACUGCUUCUGAAUUCAAGUUUCCAAACACAGAUGAAGACUGGUUCCCCAUGAUUAUGUAAGCGUUUAAAGCAUAGGGCCUGACCCUGCAUAUAGAAGGAAACACCAGGACUUUAAUCAAAGCUACAGCUUCUUCAGAAGCACAAACACAUGAUUUUAAGUCUGCGCCACUCUUCCUCACUCUCUCUGCCUUAAUCUAUACUUUUUAAUCCACUGUCAGGAAAAAGGGUACCACAAGUCUCUGCCAGACUAAUAAACACAUCUGUGUAGCAUGCUCACCUACAUGAGAUCUGACCCAAAUGACCUUCUUCACAAAAAUUAAACCUAUUUGCAAAAGGAGAUUAGAACUUGUCAGAAUCUCCUUUUAGCAGAAUCUCCUUUUACCUUUUACUCUAUUUACCAUGAUUCCUUAAUCACUCCAUCUAAACUCAUCACCGCAAAUCACGUUUGAAAUUUUGAUGCUUCCAUUCUAUGCCACAGAGUCCAGCCCUUGCGUAUAUGUUAUCCAAUAUGCAAACAGAAAAACGUAAUCCCAGUAUUUCUUGUUCUCAUAUACCAUUUUAUAUCCUUUUAUCUGUUGUAAUAUAUUUUUUUAAAUUUUAAUUUUAGAAAGGGUGAAAAUUAUAACUUGUUGCUUAAAACCACAAAAUGAUGAAACUCACUUAAAAUUGCUCAUUUUUUGAGUGUUUGUUUUGUUUUUUUUUUAAGAAGAAAAGAAAAAACAGAAACAGACCAGAAACAGUCUUUUCUUAUGUUCUAAAUAUCUUAAUCUUUUUCAAUAAUCUUAUUUCAAUAAAAAUAUUGUUCUGUU